UCGAUUUGGGCUCAGCCAAAGUGCACACGCACGCAAAUUAGCCGUCACGCGCACACGCAUUCCCUGUCGAUCCCACCACGCACGCGGCACUUCUCCUCUCGAUUCCCCUUUCUUUGCGAUGCUGCCGAGGCUGCUCCGGCCAGCCGCCGGCCAUGCCCGCCGUCGCCGGCCGCAUCCGCCGUCGCCUGCCGGCUUCCCAGCUCCACCACGGUAUCCUCCUUCGACUCCCCUCUUCGGAGUCUCCUCCUUGCUCACGCGCGCCCGCGGCUAACCCUAGCCCGCGGGUUGGCUUGUUCGCCGCCGAAAACCGGCGCCGCUGCGCAUUCGCCCGAUACUGUCGACCUCCGCUCUCUCCUUAUUUCCAUGACGCCGCCACUCGCACCCACGCCGCCAACCUGAGAACCCUAGCUACUGCCGGCCGAUUCGGCCAUCGCCGGCCUUGGCGAGCGGUGCCGUUGGUCAAGGUCGUGCCGCCACGGCCGUCUCAGCCAGCUCCCCUUCACUGCCACCUGGUCCAGUACUCACGCGCCUGCGCUGGCUCCGGCCGAUUCCGGCCUCUCCGCCGCCGCUGCUCUUCGGUGUGGCCUCGCCCUCAUCUCCACUACUGGGGUUUGCUGUCGCGAAGCUGGUAGGAUGGCAGUGUCCUGCUACCCUGGCAUCCUCCGAUGCGCUGCUGUGCUGAAUUACUGGUAGGGUGUGGUUGUGGUGGUGAGGAUGGAAUGGUGGUGCUGGUUCUGGUGCUGGUGGUGUUGCUGUGACGCCUUCCUCGACUCCGACCUUGACACUGACGGGACGGUGCCGCGGACACAACCUCGGCGUCGACUACACCGUUUCGCCUGCCUCCUCUACAGAGCACUGUGAUCAAGUUAAACAAGAUGGUCUAGGAACGUGGACGAAGGUUAUGAGCUUCAAGAUUUAAUUGUAGAAUUAUUUCCCUUUUUCUUGUGUUUUGGAUUUGUAAUUUAUAUUCCUUUUUUCUAUGUUAUUAUUUAAGACUUGUGAAUAUUUAUACCUUAUAUAUAAUUAAGAAUUCCAUUCUUUA